GGGUCAGUAGGUUGGUCGUGCCACCGGUACGUACUGGUCUCACUGAUUCCUCCUUCCUGAAGAACCGUAAUGCCAUUAAUUUGGUAUUGCGGGGAAACAGGACUGUUACUUUGAAAAAAUUAGAGUGUUUAAAGCAAGCUAACGCUUGAAUACAUUAGCAUGGAUAAUGAAAUAGGACGAUCGAUCCUAUUUUGUUGGUUUCUAGGAUUGACGUA
rnacentral:rRNA from 1 species